GUGCUCACUUUGGCAGCACAUAUACUAAAAUUGUAACCAUGCAGAGAUUAGCGUGGCCCCUGCGCAAGGAUGACUCGCAAGUUCGUGAAGCGUUCUGUAUUUUU
ensembl:snRNA U6 U6 spliceosomal RNA